UCUUCUUCCUCGAAAUGUCUCAGCAAUGUCCUCUCGAAUCUUUUUAGUGCUGUCAAAAUCCGCACAUAUUUUCUUUGGUGGUCCAUAUUCUUCUUCUAAGAAAUAUCUCAGCAAUUUCCGUGUAAGACUCUGUGUAUUUUUCCCAGGUUGCGUUGGAAUAUUUAGUCGUAAUGAUGAGAUGUUCGCGGCUUUAAAUCUUUUUUUCCAGAUUUGUGGGGACCGCUCCCCACUGACAUCUUUCAAAGGAAACCGCGUAGAGAAAUUUGUGCGGUUAAAUCUGAGCCCAUCUUUUCUACCCGUAAGAAGAAAUUUCCUCUACUUAAAUCUUUUUGCCUCUUGUCUUACUCCUUUUCUACCCGUGCGUGGAGAAAUUUCCUCUACUUAAAUCUUUUUGCCUCCUGUCGUACAUCCUUUAUUUCUAUUAAUCAAAUCUCUUUCGCCCCGUCUUCCAUCCUUCCUACCCCUGCGUUCGAUUCACUCCAAUGGCAAGCACAGAUGAGAUUACUAAUUCUCCCAAGGCAGAAAUUAUGGCAUCGUCUUCAACUCCAACAAAGAUCGUGCGGUACGAUGUAUUCAUAAACCAUUGUGGCCCUGACACCAAGCAAAUCCUAGCCGCCACAAUCUACCGUGCCCUAAAACUCAUGGGACUUGAAGUUUUCUUAGAUGAACCAGUAGAUGAACCAGAGCUCGAUCUUGGCGAUUCCAUACCGUCUCAAAUACAACACGCCAUCACUACUUCUUUCCUUCAUAUUGCUAUCUUUUCACCCAAAUAUGCAGAAUCCCCUUGGAUUCUGGAAGAGUUGUCUCUUAUGCUCAAAACUGGCCAGGCAAUCAUUCCUGUGUUUUACAAUGUUGAACCCAGUGAUAUCCAUUGGAUUUGUAAAGGAAAAGGAGUCUAUGCUGAAGCAUUUUUAGAGCUUUAAGCCAAGAAGAGAUAUACUUCACAAAAGCUUGAGGAUUGGAAGUCGGCGCUGCAAAAGUUUUCAUAUCUUAAAGGCCACAUUGUCAACAGUCACGAUGAUCAAGAAGUGUUGAAGAUUAUUGCAAAUCUUGUUCUAAAGAAGAUUAAAAAGACUUCAUUUGUGGUGGCCAAACAUCCUGUUGGUCUUGAUAAAACCUUACGGGCCUUUGAAAGAAGUGUGUUGGAAUCUUCUAAAAAUGUAAAAAUUGUGGGGAUCAUAGGUAUGAGUGGCUGUGGAAAAACUACAUUGGAAAAAGAACACUACAACAAGAUGAUACAGUCCUAUAGAUGUAGUUUUGUUUGUGAUGUACGAGAUACACCAACUAAAUAUAUGUAUGAAAAGCAGAAAAAAAAUGUUCCAAGACCUUGGUGGCUCAAAAGAUAUAUCGUUUAAUAAUGUAGAAGAAGGAAAAGCAAAUCUUAUCCGAGUAUUUGAGUCAUGUUCAAGUAUUUAUUACCUUGGACAAUGUAGAUCAUCAAGAUCAAUUGGAAUCUCUCGUGCCAACAAAAAACAGUCUUAUAAAAGAUAGUGUUGUUGUGGUUACAAGUCGAGAUCCUGGUGUUCUUAUAUCAUGGGGAAUCCCUUCUAUUUCUAUUUAUAAGAUGAAAGAUUUAAAUCCUCAACAUACUACGGAACUAUUUUGUUGGCAUGCUUUUGAAAAACCCUCUCCGAUAUAUGAAUUUGAAUAUCUUGUUAAAAAGUUUCUAAUAGUCUGCAAGGGAUUGCCAUUAUCCCUUAAGGUUUUAGGAGAGCUUGUGUGUGGAAAGUCCAAGGAAAAUUGGAAUGGUCAAUUAGAGAAGUUCUCCAGAUAAUUGCACAAAGACAUUAAAACCAUACUUAUGGUGAACUUUGAUGCACUAGAUGAUGAAGAAGAGAAGGAGAUAUUUUUAGAUAUAUCAUGUUUCUUCAUAGGAACAGAAAAGGAUUUGGCCAUCACAGUGUGGGAGGAGUCUGGAUGGAGUGGGGCGGGUAGUUUGGGAACACUCAUGGAUAAGUCUCUGGUUGAGGUGGAUGAGAAAAACUGCUUAAGAAUGCAUGAUCUGUUGAGAGAUUUGGGAAGGGACAUUUCAAAGACAAGGUCACCGUACCGCCUUUGGUCACCAGAGCAAAUUACCCAUAUUCAGCAACAGGGAAAGGGAAAUGUUCUGAUUCGGGGAAUUAAAGCCCGAAUAGAUGAAUUUUAUGAAGAGUUUGUGGAGCUUGUCAGAGAAUCAAGUAGAGGAAUCAAGCGGAAGUGGGGUUUAAAAAUCUUGGACGUUGAAAAGAAUUAUUUUACAGAAGAACUAGCAACACUAUCAGGAGGCCUUGUCUCGCUGCGAUGGGCCAAGUUUCCACAUCGAGCUAUUCCGUCAUGGAUUUCAUUGAAGAAGUUGAGAGUUUUAAAGCUUUGUGAUGCUUCUAAAUUAGAAGAAUCGUGGAAUGAGAUUGCUGAUUCUUUGCGCCAAGGAAAGAUUGUGUUGGUCGGAAAAGAUGCAGCUCGCGGAACAAAACUCGGGAAACAUGUGGGUAGGGUUUGUGUUCUUACGGGUGGCAGCGGUUCCCCAGCUAACGCGUGGUGAAAUGGUUGCCGCUAUGGUGGAUAUGGUUGUGGCUUUCCACGUGAUCCCUACAUCCCAUGCGUUCACAACAUCCCUUGCAACCUCGCUGGCAGUUAGCUCCCUCCCCUGCAUAGCUCCUGCAGGUGCGCUUUUAUUUUAUUUGGCUCUAGGUUCUGCAAGUUUUUGUUUGAUUGGAGUUUGUAGGGCAUUCAUUAUUGAUCCUAACAUUCAUACUUAAUUACUGAUGUCAUAUCCCAUCAUCCUCGCUUGAUCUAUGUGGAUGGAUUCUCAUUUAUAUAGCUAAAUUUUAAGAGUCGAAUCCAUUGGAACGAUCCAUAGAAUGUACAGGAUAUAGGUCAACAGAUGAAUAAAUAAGAAAGAGGUCAUCACAGGUUAACAUUUUUCAGCUGUCUGCUUGUGUUCAUGGAUAACUAUGCAAUUAUAUUUUGGGUUGAAAAUAUCGAUGAUUUAAGGCAUUACCCAUAUGAUGAUUAGGUUGAAUAACUAUCAAAUUUAUUGAAGAGAUGACUUCUGACAGCCUUCCUCUUCUAACAGACUCGUCGACGUCUGUUGACGGUAAUGUUGCAGAGCUUCAGAGGCUCAAUUUUCAUUCGAAGACCUCCAGCCGUCAUCUAAGGGACCUUCAUGCUCUGAGCUUUACGUUUCUCUUUGUAUUCUUGGCUUAUUCUGCAGCGCAGAAUUUACAAAGUUAUUUACAUUCUGAUGGAAACUUAGGAACUACGUCAUUGGGUAUUCUUUAUACAUCACUCAUUGUAUGCUCAUUUAUAGCAGCACCUGUAGCUAGAAGGCUCGGUUCGAAGAAUUCACUUGUUCUUGGGACUUAAGGCUACUGGUUAUUCAUUGCAGCCAAUCUGUAUCCACUAUGGUAAACUAUGGUGCCAGCGUCUCUAUAUCUUGGAUUUACAGCUUCUAUAAUAUGGGUUGUAGAGGGAACAUACCUUACUUCUGUUGCAAGGAGCCAUGCAAUUGAAUGUAACCUUCCUGAAGGCAAAGUUCUUGGGAACUUCAACGAGGAAUUUUGGGGAGCAUUUGCUAGUACUCACAUUUUUUGAAACUCGAAUACUAAAUCUUAAAUUUCAUUCAUAGAAUAAGGGGUCUGCAUGUGUGUAUCAAACUUGUAGGAGAGAGAGAGAGAGAGAGAGAUUCACCAUUUUGUAUUCAUUUUUGCAAUUUAGAUAAUCUAAUUGCUUCUGAUUUCUUUA